CCUUAAAAAAAAUGUAUGGGUCGUCACGUUGUAACGUUUGCACAUGCCCAUUUUCUAGAAACGAACUACUGCUUCUCAUUUUCUACCAACCAAUCAAAUUUGAUUGCCACUAAGAAGAAGAAUUCUGUAAUACUUUGCCAUCCCCGAUAGUAUAAAAAUCAGGGCCCAACAAACGAUCGUGGAACAGUAUCUCUUCGCAAACCAAGCAGUGAAGUUUAAUCAGCAGAGAGCGAGGAUCCCUACCUACCAUUCCCUCAUCUGCCGAGCGAGCCAGUGCAAAGCCCGACACUUCCGCAGCUAUACCCUGGUUAAGCCAAGCGAGCUCCAGUACAAAUCAUCCCAGCCUCUGUUCAGAGGUGCGUGGGCCACGAUGUCGUCACACAGACCUAUUGGAUGUUGGCUAUUGCGAGAGCUCUGCCGAGGCACAAAACCGCAAUUAUCAUUGCGAACAACAAUCCGCACAGCAUUUCUAAAUGCCGCAAACAAUGUUAUAAAGAGUUAUAACCCCUCCGUUAUCAAACCCUCAAACCCUCUCCUCCUCUGCAACAGUAGUGUGAAUAGAACAGAAAUCAUCCGCAUGGGGACAUUAGCAGAACCGAUCACCACCAACUGGUGAUCGGUUUCUACGGAGAGAUGUACCUGCAUGAACGACUCCACGCAGCAGAGGCAGCGAUACGGGCAGAAAAAGGCUUAGGCCGAAGAAUACGGUUGUGCGCACAACAAAUUGUGUUAUGAUAGGAAGAUUAGGCUGGUCCAAAAAAUUUAAUUAUUCCUUUUGCAAGAAGACGAAAAUUGUUUUAAAUAUAGUGUCAAGCAUAUUUGAUUGGUGUUUUAGUGUCAGUUUUUGUAUUUCGUUUGGCUUUAUUAGUUACACGACUCCACGACUGCCGCUGGCUAAAUCCGGGCACCCAAUUCUGCGAACUCGAAGUUCCGUAUCAGGCUGUGGUCUGAUUGGCGCUAAAGCGGAACUUUUAAGCCAGAGUCAAUCAAAAAUUGUGUCUUGUUGAUCUUGUUGCCGGGGAAAACGUUACAACGUUACGCGAAAUCCCCCCUCCCCCCUAAAAGCGUGACGUAAUUUGUGCAUGACCCCUUAGAUGCAUUUCGCUAUACAAAAUAAAAUGAUUUUACUCCUGCUGACCAACUUGAACGCACUCCCUGCGGGUAAUCUACCCAGUACGGAGGGUUAGCCUAAAAUUAGCCUAAUAUAAGACUAACUGGUCAGCAUGUUAGGCUAACUUUUUGUCUCACUUUUGGCUAAUGUUAGUCCAAAAUUAGACAGAUAUGACACAUUUUUACGUAAAAUUCCAUCGUCCCGUUCACACUACCAUCUCCCGGUGGACUGUAAUAACAACAGAAGGCGCUAGUGUGAAACGUCAAACGCAAAGAAAAACUAUGCGUGUAUCUCUGGUUGUGAAUGUCACAACUAUGAAGAUUUGAAUGAAUUAAAUGCUUUGGCUGUUUUCCUACUCUCCGCAUCGACCAAUGUGGCGCUAGCUUCUAUGCGCGAAAAAUCGCUAAAAGUAAAUCGCAAAAAUAUUGUAUGGCGAAUAGCAUCUAAAGGCGUAUUUCUCGAAGUGGAACACAUUAAUCGAAAAAAUAUUUGGUAGCAGUUGUGCACAAUGAUGACCGGUUGGGUGCCUCCCAAAUAUUUUUUCGAUAAAAGCUUUUCAUUUCGAGAAAUUCGAGUUCCCUCCCCCUGGAUAUUCAAUCUUGACGCGAUGGGAGGGCUUAACCCAUUAGCACUUUAGCGCCAGUUUAUUCACCAUCGCUUGGACUUUGAGCUAGAUAUAUCUGGUUUACGAGGUAGCACAAGUGAAGGAAUCGGCCGUAAGUGCUAAUGGGAACCAAAGGAGUAUCCGUUGUGCAUUUAUCACAAGUCAAAGACAAGUUAUAAUUCAGCUUGUAUAGACCAGACCUACUCUUUGCAUUCUUUGAAUCUUUCAAAUUUAAAAAUAAUUGUUAAAUUUUAUGUAACGCAAGAGUGGGUAGGGGAGGUCUCUGCGUUACACUCUCCACUCUUCAUUCAUCACUUGAGUUCGAAAGUACCAAGGACAGGGAACGCUAGGAUAAGUUGACUUACAGCCUUACAGAUUAGGUUAUGUGAACAAUUAAAUACAUUACCAUUAGAAAAUUAUGGACUGAUUAGGUUAAGAUUAAACUGUUGAUUUUAAAAAUGAGUUUAUAUUUGUAUUUCUUAUUUUUAUAGGUUUUGUAGGGAUGAAUAUAUAAAAGUAGACAAAUAAUCUUUUUCAUUUUUAUUGAGUGUGUUUUUGGAGGCGAAAUCGAAAUGCCGCUUUUUCAUUUGGUUCGGCCGCGAGCGCGUCGUCGUCGUCGUCUAUUUCACAGUGAUCAUCUUCGUACGGGGCAGUUCAGUGUGUUUUUGGAGGCGAAAUCGAAAUGCCGCUUUUUCAUUUGGUUCGGCCGCGAGCGCGUCGUCGUCGUCGUCUAUUUCACAGUGAUCAUCUUCGUACGGGGCAGUUCAGUGUGUUUUUGGAGGCGAAAUCGAAAUGCCGCUUUUUCAUUUGGUUCGGCCGCGAGCGCGUCGUCGUCGUCGUCUAUUUCACAGUGAUCAUCUUCGUACGGGGCAGUUCAGUGUGUUUUUGGAGGCAAAAUCGAAAUGCCGCUUUUUCAUUUGGUUCGGCCGCGAGCGCGUCGUCGUCGUCGUCUAUUUCACAGUGAUCAUCUUCGUACGAGGCAGUUCAGUGUAUUUUUGGAGGCGAAAUCGAAAUGCCGCUUUUUCAUUUGGUUCGGCCGCGAGCGCGUCGUCGUCGUCGUCUAUUUCACAGUGAUCAUCUUCGUACGGGGCAGUUCAGUGUGUUUUUGGAGGCAAAACCGAAAUGCCGCUUUUUCAUUUGGUUCGGCCGCGAGCGCGUCGUCGUCGUCGUCUAUUUCACAGUGAUCAUCUUCGUACGAGGCAGUUCAGUGUAUUUUUGGAGGCGAAAUCGAAAUGCCGCUUUUUCAUUUGGUUCGGCCGCGAGCGCGUCGUCGUCGUCGUCUAUUUCACAGUGAUCAUCUUCGUACGGGGCAGUUCAGUGUGUUUUUGGAGGCAAAAUCGAAAUGCCGCUUUUUCAUUUGGUUCGGCCGCGAGCGCGUCGUCGUCGUCGUCUAUUU